AUUGAACGCUGGCGGCAUGCCUUACACAUGCAAGUCGAACGGCAGCACGGGAGCAAUCCUGGUGGCGAGUGGCGAACGGGUGAGUAAUGUAUCGGAACGUGCCCAGUCGUGGGGGAUAACGUAGCGAAAGCUACGCUAAUACCGCAUACGAUCUAUGGAUGAAAGCGGGGGACCGUAAGGCCUCGCGCGAUUGGAGCGGCCGAUAUCAGAUUAGGUAGUUGGUGGGGUAAAGGCCUACCAAGCCGACGAGCUGUAGCUGGUCUGAGAGGACGACCAGCCACACUGGGACUGAGACACGGCCCAGACUCCUACGGGAGGCAGCAGUGGGGAAUUUUGGACAAUGGGCGCAAGCCUGAUCCAGCAAUGCCGCGUGCAGGAUGAAGGCCUUCGGGUUGUAAACUGCUUUUGUACGGAGCGAAAAGGCUCUCUCUAAUACAGGGGGCUCAUGACGGUACCGUAAGAAUAAGCACCGGCUAACUACGUGCCAGCAGCCGCGGUAACAC
rnacentral:rRNA from 1 species